AGUGAACGCUGGCGGUAGGCCUAACACAUGCAAGUCGAACGGCAGCACAGUAAGAGCUUGCUCUUACGGGUGGCGAGUGGCGGACGGGUGAGGAAUACAUCGGAAUCUACUUUUUCGUGGGGGAUAACGUAGGAAACUUACGCUAAUACCGCAUACGACCUACGGGUGAAAGCAGGGGAUCUUCGGACCUUGCGCGAUUGAAUGAGCCGAUGUCGGAUUAGCUAGUUGGCGGGGUAAAGGCCCACCAAGGCGACGAUCCGUAGCUGGUCUGAGAGGAUGAUCAGCCACACUGGAACUGAGACACGGUCCAGACUCCUACGGGAGGCAGCAGUGGGGAAUAUUGGACAAUGGGCGCAAGCCUGAUCCAGCCAUACCGCGUGGGUGAAGAAGGCCUUCGGGUUGUAAAGCCCUUUUGUUGGGAAAGAAAAGCAGCAGGUUAAUACCCCGCUGUUCUGACGGUACCCAAGGAAUAAGCACCGGCUAACUUCGUG
rnacentral:rRNA from 1 species